rnacentral:rRNA from 1 species
GACGAACGCUGGCGGCGUGCUUAACACAUGCAAGUCGAACGGAAAGGCCUUUUCGGUGGUACUCGAGUGGCGAACGGGUGAGUAACACGUGGGUGAUCUGCCCUGCACUCUGGGAUAAGCCUGGGAAACUGGGUCUAAUACCGGAUAGGACCGCACUUUUGUGUGUGUGGUGGAAAGUUUUUUCGGUGUAGGAUGAGCCCGCGGGCUAUCAGCUUGUUGGUGGGGUAAUGGUCUACCAAGGCGGCGACGGGUAGCCGGACUGGGGGGUUGGUCGGCCACAUUGGGACUGAGGUACGGCCCAGGCUCCUACGGGGGGGAGCAGGGGGGAAUAUUGCACAAUGGGCGCAAGCCUGAUGCAGCGACGCCGCGGGGGGGAUGACGGCCUUAGGGUUGGAAACUCCUUUCGCCAGGGACGAAGCGUUUUGUGACGGUACCUGGAGAAGAAGCACCGGCUAACUACGUG